rnacentral:rRNA from 1 species
GUACGAGGUUUCUGCAAUACGCGAAAGCGUGACAGGGGAACCCAAAGUGCCUAUGAUUUAAUCAUAGGCUUUUGCGGAGUGUAAAUAGCUCCGAGAAUAAGUGGUGGGUAAGACGGGUGCCAGCAGCCGCGGUAACCCCCGCGCCACAAGUGGCAAUCGGCAUUAUUGGGUCUAAAGCGUCCGUAGUCGGCUCUGUAAAUCUCGUGUGAAAUCGUUUCGCUCAACGAAACGGCGGGCACGAGACACUGCAUAGCUAGGGACCAGGAGGUGCAAGAGGUAUUCCCGGGGUAGCGGUAAAAUGCGAUAAUCCUGGGAGGACCACCGAUGGCGAAGGCAUCUUGCAAGAAUGGGUCCGACGAUGAGGGACGAAAGCCGGGGGAGCAAAACGG